rnacentral:tRNA from 1 species
GAGGGUGUAGCUCAGUGGUAGAGUGCAUGCCUAGCAUGCACAAGGUCCUGAGUUCAAUCCCCAGUACUUCCA